GCCCCUAAGACGGGAUCCCGGCCCCGAAAUACAGUGGCGGUCUCGCCGCAGCCUCUCCUGCGCAGUAGUUUGCACAACUCGCACCGGGAGCGCGGCGCGUCCACGUCCGUAAAACACCCAACUUCUGAAAUGUUGACCUCGGAUCAGGUAGGAAU
rnacentral:rRNA from 1 species